rnacentral:rRNA from 1 species
UACGUAGGUGGCAAGCGUUGUCCGGAUUUACUGGGCGUAAAGGGCGUGCAGGCGGUUUGUCUAGUCUAGGGUGAAAGCUCCCGGCUUAACUGGGAGAGGUCCUUGGAUACUGGCAAACUUGAGGGAGGCAGAGGAAAGUGGAAUUCCCGGUGUAGUGGUGAUAUGCGUAGAUAUCGGGAGGAACACCCAUAGCGAAGGCAGCUUGCUGGGACGUUACUGACGCUAAGGCGCGAAAGCGUGGGGAGCGAACAGG